rfam:Duck Tembusu virus isolate DTMTV-AH2011, complete genome
CCAGUGUCGGGCCACAGGUUUUGUGCCACUAGCGUGCAGUGCAGCCCGGACAAAAGACACGCCCCAGGAGGACUGGGA